rnacentral:rRNA from 1 species
GACGAACGCUGGCGGCGUGCCUAAUACAUGCAAGUAGAACGCUGAAGAGAGGAGCUUGCUCUUCUUGGAUGAGUUGCGAACGGGUGAGUAACGCGUAGGUAACUUCCUUGGUAGCGGGGGAAAAUUAUGGGAAAGGUAACCAAAACCGCCAUAAAACCAUUUUUGCCUGUCGGGCUUUUAAAAAAUUGCAAUUGAAUCAUUCCCAGAUGGCCUUGCGUUGUAUUAGCUAGUUGGUGAGGUACCGGCUCACCAAGGCGACGAUACAUAGCCGACCUGAGAGGGUGAUCGGCCACACUGGGACUGAGACACGGCCCAGACUCCUACGGGAGGCAGCAGUAGGGAAUCUUCGGCAAUAGGGGGAACCCUGACCGAGCAACGCCGCGUGAGUGAAGAAGGUUUUCGGAUCGUAAAGCUCUGUUGUAAGAGAAGAACGGGUGUGAGAGUGGAAAGUUCACACUGUGACGGUAUCUUACCAGAAAGGGACGGCUAACUACGUG